UACAGAGGGGGCAAGCGUUGUUCGGAAUUACUGGGCGUAAAGGGCGCGUAGGCGGCCUUCUAAGUCGAACGUGAAAUCCCCGGGCUCAACCCGGGAACUGCGUCCGAUACUGGAAGGCUUGAAUCCGGGGGAGGGAUGCGGAAUUCCAGGUGUAGCGGUGAAAUGCGUAGAUAUCUGGAGGAACACCGGUGGCGAAGGCGGCAUCCUGGACCGGUAUUGACGCUGAGGCGCGAAAGCCAGGGGAGCAAACGGG
rnacentral:rRNA from 1 species